AAGAGACUACACUCUACCCUGCGCUCUUCCCUUCCCAUCCUCAUGUAACACUCACUUUUCCUCUUGGAUUCGGCUUCUCCCGCUUCUCGUCACACCGCACGUAAGCACUUUCUCCUCUCAUCCGGCUGUUUCCAUUUUCUGCUGCGAACUGAAAUCUUCAGCGGAUACUUGUGUGAUACUUUCGCGGCGCAUUAUUUAGAUUCGUUCGGGUUGUCGGAGCCGCUAGCUGCUUUGGAGUCGUUUCACGAGUCACGUAGUGCCCUAGAUAGGUUUCAAUGGCUUACUGAGGUGAUCGAGCUGCAAAUCUUGGCGACAUCAUUGGGGUGAGCUUGUCCAGCAUGCAGAGGAGGAAGCCGAAGCAGAAUGGGUAUCCACUGGUGGUCAUGGCAGGUAGUGGUGCCAGGACUCUCUUUAGUUGUGCUCGUUGUGGCGACGCAUUUGUUUGUAACACCUCUUGUGCCCACCUUUUCUGUGGAUCCAAAUGCGCUAGUCAUUCAUCGUAUCAAUGGCACAUACGAAUGGAAUGCUGAGCGAGAUCGAUCAUGCGAAAAGGAGCACGGAGCAGUUGUUUAUCGUAAUGCGACUUGGAAGGCAGAUGUGGGUUGUUGGCUAUCGCAAUGUGGGAAUUCCUCUUUCCCAAUUCCUGUUGUGGAAAAGUUUUGGAGAAACAGUUGCACUUUUGAGUGCGAUGGCCGUGGUGUUUGCAACAAGGAGCUUGCACAAUGUCGAUGCUCUGUGGGCUUUUCAGGAGUAGGCUGCGAAAAGGUAAUCAAUCGGAAGUGCAACAAGGGUGUUACUGACGAGCAGCCCUAUGGUUCCUGGGGCGUAUCUGUUUGUCCGGGGUUUUGUGACAAACGCACAGCGCACUGUCUGUGCGGUAAUACCACUAAAUACCCCGACCGACCGUUAGCUGAAGCCUGUGGAUUUCAUUCCAAGGGGAACACAGGGGAAAUUGAUUGGACAAAAGCUGAUACGGACUAUAUAUAUGGGAAUAAAAGCUACCAGGGCUGGUGUAAUCUUGAUGCAGAAGAUGUGCAUGACAAGAACAUUCGUGUCAAGUUACCUCAAUGCGAUUGCAAGUAUGAUGGUCAGUGGGGAGUAGUUUGUGAAAGUCCUUCCGAAAGUUUUUGCAUCAAUCAGUGUAACCUUAACGGGAUUUGUCAUCAGGGCUUCUGUGCAUGCAGAAAAGGCUGGUAUGGCGUUGAUUGUAGUGUGCCCUCCUACUUACCUCCACCUGUGCAACGUCCGAAGUGGCUACCUCAAGAAGCUGCUCCUGAUGUUUCAGACGAGACAAAUCGAAUCUCAGUAGCUUCAAACAUAAUGAAAAAACGUCCUUUGGUUUACGUAUACGACCUUCCUGCUGAAUUUACCACUCAAUUUCUUCAGGGAAGGCACUUCAAAUUUGAGUGUGUUAACCGGCUCUAUGAUGUCGAUAAUGCUACCAUAUGGACAGAGAAUCUUUACGGUGCAGGGAUUGCAUUAUAUGAGAGUCUUCUUGCAAGCGAGCAUCGAACCACCAACGGAGAUGAGGCAGACUUUUUCUACGUUCCUUUCUUACAGGCCUGCAUUGUUGAGCAAGGAGAUGCCGCUCCCCACUUGACUUUCCAGGGGAAAUAUAUGGGUUUAAGACAAUACUUUGCUGGAGACUAUAGCAAGCAAAUUUAUUUUCAUAUACAACAGAAUUAUCCUUACUGGAAUCGUUCUGCAGGACGUGAUCACAUCUGGUUUUUCCCAUGGGAUGAAGGUGCAUGCUCGGCGCCAAAAGAGAUAUGGAACAGCAUGAUGUUAUCCCAUUGGGGCAACACAAAUGCAAAGCAUAAGGCUUCGACUACCGCAUAUCGUGCUGAUAACUGGGAUCUUAUUCCACCAGAGUGGCGUGGCGAUCAUCCUUGCUACGAUCCUGCAAAAGAUCUUGUCCUACCAGCGUGGAAAUUUCCAGAUCCUUAUCCGAUCGUUCAGAACCUCUCGUCUAGACAUCGUCAAGAUCGGCCAACAUUAUUUUACUUCAACGGCAAUUUAGGGAGUGCCUACGAUAAUGGUAGGCCCGAACCUGGUUACAGUAUGGGCAUCAGGCAGAAGCUGGCAGCAGAGUUUGGGUCACAGCCCAAUAAGAAGGGAUUAUUAGGCCGGCAAGCAGUAGACGAUGUCGUGGUUCAGGCCCAACGCAGUCCACAAUAUAAACUUGAGCUUUCCAAGUCUCGGUUUUGUGGCGUAUUACCAGGGGACGGCUGGAGUGGUCGCAUGGAAGACAGCAUUUUGAGUGGUUGUAUUCCUGUCAUCAUUCAGGAUGGUAUUCAUUUGCCGUUCGAGAAUGUUUUGGAUUACGAGAGCUUCACUGUGCGUGUAGCUGAAGAUAACAUUCACAAUCUCAUCACCAUACUCAAGGCCAUAAAUGAAGCACAAGUGGAUUCCAUGUUAGCAGUUGUUCGAGGUUUGUGGCAGCGUUUCACGUAUCACUACGCAGUAAAGUUGGAGGCAAACAGGCAAAAGUUGAAGCUUAACAAGGAAGAUUUGUGGGCCAGUGUACAGAACUCCCUUACAGGCGACGAUGCAUUCUCUACAUUCAUUCAUGUCAGGUUUUCUCUCUCUGAUCAGUAGUUCAGCGCAGAAAAGCUGCGCAAUCCUUUACAUCAUUAGUGGAGAUGCUCAGAAUGUUUCUGGGCAGAAGAUCUCCAUCAUAAAUCUUCUAUACCAGCUUGGUGUUAGAGUACAAACUACACACGGAUACAUGGCGCAGCGAGAUGAAGCAGCCUUUAAAGAAUUAUGGUGUUCCAGAUAAUUGCAGAUGAAAUUCCAGUCGCUUUAUAUUUACCUGACCUGGAGCUGCCGUAGUGAUUCUUUUCCUACCCCUUUAUUCUUUUGUAUGUUGAAAUAUUGGGUUUGAGGAGAUGUAAUUCAGUAUAAGGUUGAGUUAGAAGAUUAGAAGGUGUCCUGAAAAUUUGGUAACACUGGUGAGCGGAAGCUUUGCAUUUAGUAAAAGAGAAAAAGGUUCAAAUUGGGCCAGGUAUAUCGCAUGGUGUUUAAAUUCUUACACUGAAGUAGGUAAAGGGUUUGGUUUUCUGCACAUUCUGAGUGUAUGAAACGUUAUUUCAGUAAAUUGGAGCUCUUUCAAACCCGUAAGAAUUUCACAACUUA